GAGUUAUGGCGUCAGGAUGAACGCUAGCUACAGGCGUUAACACCAUGCAAGUCGAGGGGCAGCAUAACGAAAGCUUGCUUUGUUGAUGGCGACCGGCGCACGGGUGAGUAACGCGUAUCCAACCUUCCCUAUAGUAGAGAAUAGCCCGGCGAAAGUCGGAUUAAUGCUCUAUGUUCUUCUUUGAUGGCAUCUGACGAGAAGCAAAGGUUCACCGCUAUAGGAUGGGGAUGCGUCUGAUUAGGUAGUCGGCGGGGUAACGGCCCACCGAGCCAACGAUCAGUAGGGGUUCUGAGAGGAAGGUCCCCCACAUUGGUACUGAGACACGGACCAAACUCCUACGGGAGGCAGCAGUGAGGAAUAUUGGUCAAUGGACGAGAGUCUGAACCAGCCAAGUCGCGUGAAGGAAUGAAGGUUCUAUGGAUUGUAAACUUCUUUUGUCCGAGGGUAAAGUGAGCCACGUGUGGUUUAUUGCAAGUAUCGGACGAAUAAGCAUCGGCUAACUCCGUGCCAGCCGCAGC
rnacentral:rRNA from 1 species